UGAGGAAUAUUGGUCAAUGGGCGCGAGCCUGAACCAGCCAAGUAGCGUGAAGGAUGAAGGUCCUAUGGAUUGUAAACUUCUUUUAUACGGGAAUAAAGUGGUCCACGUGUGGAUUUUUGCAUGUACCGUAUGAAUAAGCAUCGGCUAACUCCGUGCCAGCAGCCGCGGUAAUACGGAGGAUGCGAGCGUUAUCCGGAUUUAUUGGGUUUAAAGGGAGCGCAGACGGGGGAUUAAGUCAGUUGUGAAAGUUUGCGGCUCAACCGUAAAAUUGCAGUUGAUACUGGUUCCCUUGAGUGCAGUUGAGGCAGGCGGAAUUCGUGGUGUAGCGGUGAAAUGCAUAGAUAUCACGAAGAACCCCGAUUGCGAAGGCAGCCUGCUAAGCUGUAACUGACGUUGAGGCUCGAAAGUGUGGGUAUCAAACAGGAUUAGAUACCCUGGUAGUCCACACGGUAAACGAUGGAUACUCGCUGUUGGCGAUAUACUGUCAGCGGCCAAGCGAAAGCAUUAAGUAUCCCACCUGGGGAGUACGCCGGCAACGGUGAAACUCAAAGGAAUUGACGGGGGCCCGCACAAGCGGAGGAACAUGUGGUUUAAUUCGAUGAUACGCGAGGAGCCUUACCCGGGCUUAAAUUGCAACCGAAUAUGGCGGAAACGCUAUAGCUAGCAAUAGCGGUUGUGAAGGUGCUGCAUGGUUGUCGUCAGCUCGUGCCGUGAGGUGUCGGCUUAAGUGCCAUAACGAGCGCAACCCUCGUGGCCAGUUACUAGCAGGUAACGCUGAGGACUCUGGCCAGACUGCCAUCGCAAGAUGCGAGGAAGGUGGGGAUGACGUCAAAUCAGCACGGCCCUUACGUCCGGGGCUACACACGUGUUACAAUGGGAGGUACAGAAGGCAGCUACCCGGCGACGGGAUGCCAAUCUCCAAAGCCUCUCUCAGUUCGGACUGGAGUCUGCAACCCGACUCCACGAAGCUGGAUUCGCUAGUAAUCGCGCAUCAGCCACGGCGCGGUGAAUACGUUCCC
rnacentral:rRNA from 1 species